CAGCAGCCGCGGUAAUACGGAGGGUGCAAGCGUUAUCCGGAUUUAUUGGGUUUAAAGGGUCCGUAGGCGGGAUAAUAAGUCAGUGGUGAAAGCCCAUAGCUCAACUAUGGAACUGCCAUUGAAACUGUUAUUCUUGAAUCUAGUUGAAGUGAACGGAAUGUAACAUGUAGCGGUGAAAUGCAUAGAUAUGUUACAGAACACCAAUUGCGAAGGCAGUUCACUAAGCUAGUAUUGACGCUGAGGGACGAAAGCGUGGGUAGCGAACAGGAUUAGAUACCCUGGUAGUCCACGCCGUAAACUAUGAUAACUCGGUGCUGGCGAUAUACUGUCAGUGCCCAAGCGAAAGUGAUAAGUUAUCCACCUGGGGAGUACGAUCGCAAGGUUGAAACUCAAAGGAAUUGACGGGGGCCCGCACAAGCGGUGGAGCAUGUGGUUUAAUUCGAUGAUACGCGAGGAACCUUACCUGGGCUUAAAUGCAUAAUGACCGUCUCGGAAACGAGACUUUCUUCGGACAGAAUGCAAGGUGCUGCAUGGUUGUCGUCAGCUCGUGCUGUGAGGUGUCGGGUUAAGUCCCAUAACGAGCGCAACCCCUAUUUCUAGUUGCCAGCGAGUAAUGUCGGGGACUCUAGAGAAACUGCCCGCGCAAGCGGAGAGGAAGGUGGGGAUGACGUCAAAUCAUCACGGCCCUUACGUCCAGGGCUACACACGUGCUACAAUGGUCGGUACAAAGGGCAGCUACCUGGUGACAGGAUGCUAAUCUCUAAAGCCGAUCUCAGUUCGGAUCGAAGUCUGCAACUCGACUUCGUGAAGUUGGAAUCGCUAGUAAUCGAAUAUCAGCCAUGAUUCGGUGAAUACGUUCCCGGGCCUUGUACGCACCGCCCGUCAAGCCAUGGAAGCCGGGGGUACCUGAAGUCAGUAACCGCAAGGAGCUGCCUAGGGUAAAACUGGUAACUGGGGCUAAGUCGUAACAAGGUAACCGUA
rnacentral:rRNA from 1 species